AUACUUUACCUGGGUGGGUAGAUACCAUGAUCACGGAGGUGGUUUUCUUAGGGCGAGGCUUCUCCAUUGCACUCUGGAUGUGCUGACCCCUGCAAUUUCCUCAAAUGUGGGAAAUUUGAUGGCACUAUCUGUGGCAGUGGGGGACUGCACUGCACUCACCCC